rnacentral:misc_RNA from 1 species
AUGGUGGAGUAGAUGGCGGAAUGGCUGGAGAUGGAUAAGGAGAUGGCUCGGAAGGUGGUGAAGGGGACGGAGAGGGAGAUGAUGCAGAAGGUGGUGGAGGGGGAUAAGGGGAUGGAGAAGGUGGUGGAACGGCUGAAGAUGGGGGAGAGGGCAGAGGGAAUGGUGGUGGAGGUGGUUGAACAGCCGGAGAUGGAUAAGGAGAUAGUUCAAAAGAUAAUUCCUUCGUAGGAUAAGAAGCCAAUGAAUUAAUGGCACA